rnacentral:lncRNA from 1 species
CUAGCGACCCAAUCUGGCCCUACUCUUCUGCCGUAAUUCGCGUCUUCCAGACCUUCCUAUCUAGGGUCAUGUCCUCGGUAAGCUGUAACUGUUCCAAGUCCAGGAAAUUACAUGGUAUAGCCCCAAUAGUAGCUCAAGAGAUGAGGAUUGCCCAAGUCCAGAAAAUUACAUGGUAUAGCCCCAAUAGAAGGUGGCUUUGGAUUUUUGACCCCAAUAAGAAAAAUAUUUAAAGACUAGUCUUCCUUCCUUUUUAAGUAUAGUACAAGUACAAUUUUGCCCCUCUACACCUCAAAUAUUUUUAAACUUUCCAUACUCGCUUCUCUCAAAUUUUAUUUUUAUUUUUGUUAUUUUCACUUUUUAUUUUUCCUUUAACUUUAUUUCAUGUUUAAAUUCAUUUGUCUCAACCUUUAUUUUUUUCUCUUUUUCUUUUUUCUCAAAUAUUAUCUAUUUCUUCAUUUCUUUAUUUUCUUUUUUUAAUUCAUUUGUCUCAACCUUUAUUUUUUGUUUUUAUCAUUUCUCUUUUUUCCUCAUUUUUUCAAACUUUAUUUUUAUUUUCGUCUCAUUUUUGUUUUUCUCAAUUUUUCAAUUCUUCGCUUUUUUCUUAAUCUUUAUUUUUUUCUUUUUUUUCUCAAUCUCUUCUUUUAUUUCUCUAUUUUGUUUGAUCUCUUUUUUAUUUUUUUCAACUUCUAUUAUAUUUUGCUAAUAAAUACAAAAUUGGAUAAUCCGCCAAGGGAUCUUCUUUUUUAACAUCAAAGCAAAUUUAAGGACAUGAAUUGUCUUAGGAAAUUCUUUGGAAUAAGUUUUGCCUCUAAGGCAAAAAAUUAUAAAACAACUCAUAAAUCAAGGCACAAUGUGGUAGUGUCAAAUCUUGUUUGUGGAGCAUAACUUGUUAUUUGAAAAUCCUUGAGUUAAGUCUUGGUUUUAAGGCAAGAGUUAUAAAACAUCUCAUAAAUCAAAAAACAAUGUGGUAGUGUCAACACUUGUCCAUAGGCAUAACUUGUCGGAUAAGUCUUGCCUCUAAGACAAGAGUUAUAGAAUAUCUCAUAAAUUAAGACACGAUGUGGUAGUGUCAAUUCUUGCCUAUGGAGCGUAACUUGCUGUUUGAAAGUCCUUAGACUAAUUCGAACCUUUAAGGCAAGAGUUACAAACAUCUCACAAAUCAAGACAUCGUGUGGUAGUGUCAACUCUUACCCAUGGGGCAUAACUUGUUGUUUAAAAGUCAUUGAUUUAUAAAACAUCUCAAAAAUCAAGACACAAUGUGGUAGUGUCAAAUCUUGUCCGU